AGCAGUAGCCGCGGUAAUACGUAGGGUGCAAGCGUUAAUCGGAAUUACUGGGCGUAAAGCGUGCGCAGGCGGUUAUUCAAGACAGAUGUGAAAUCCCCGGGCUCAACCUGGGAACUGCAUUUGUGACUGGAUGACUAGAGUACGGCAGAGGGGGAUGGAAUUCCGCGUGUAGCAGUGAAAUGCGUAGAUAUGCGGAGGAACACCGAUGGCGAAGGCAAUCCCCUGGGCCUGUACUGACGCUCAUGCACGAAAGCGUGGGGAGCAAACAGGAUUAGAUACCCCGGUAGUCCCUGUCUCUUAUAC
rnacentral:rRNA from 1 species